rnacentral:rRNA from 1 species
CAGUAGCCACGGUAAUACGAAGGGUGCAAGCGUUACUCGGAAUUACUGGGCGUAAAGCGUGCGUAGGUGGUGGUUUAAGUCCGUUGUGAAAGCCCUGGGCUCAACCUGGGAAUUGCAGUGGAUACUGGGUCACUAGAGUGUGGUAGAGGAUAGUGGAAUUUCCGGUGUAGCAGCGAAAUGCGUAGGGAUCGGAAGGAACAUCUGUGGCGAAGGCGACUAUCUGGGCCAACACUGACACUGAGGCACGAAAGCGUGGGGAGCAAACAGGAUUAGAUACCCCCGUAGUCCCUGUCUCUUAUAC